AAUUUUAGUUGCGUGGAGCCGAAGUUUGGGUGGCCACGUGUCGCUCACCCGCUAGAACGGCGAGCGUGUUAUCACGGGCGGAUGACACGUAGAUCGCUUACUCGCCCAAGCACUUGACACGUGGACAUACAGACAUGCCCUUUCCCUUGUCUAUAUAAGCCGAACUGGACCCCAAUUGUUUUGUGAAGAGAAAGUGAGCAAAAGUGAGAGGCUGCCGAAUUGAAACCGUCUGCAAAUUCAAGUUACGGUCCCAUAGCCGAAAACUCUGCUUGAAUCAUUGGAAGCUUCCUGUUGGUUACUAAGUGAGUUCUGGAUAAUGGUUUAAGUUGCAUAAUCAUAUUCUCAUGCAUUCUAAAUUGAUUUCGUGAGUUAUAUGAAUUGUGUAAAUGGUUAUAUUUGAGUGCAUAUGUGAUCUUUAGAUUCUUAUGCUAAUGUUUAUGGUUGGGAGGUUAUGUUGGGAUAUUGAUGAUUCUAUGUGUUUGAUUUAACCAUAUGUUUCAUAAUAUCUUAACCUUUGGGAUCUUGGUACGUGGUGCUUGUGGUAGGAGGCAAAGACCAUAAGCGUGCAAAGAUCGUGAUAUGUCUAGCUGAUAGUAGGAUUCUUACUCAAUAAAUCCUAAAACACUAUCAUGUCGUUGUAGUAUUUUAGGUUGUCAAUCCAAUCCGGUGUGAUGCAAACAGAUGAGAUAUGAUUAGAAAGUUCUAAGUCAAGCCAAGCAGAGAGUUGGUUGGUUCUAAUAGUCCUAGUAUGCAAAAACAGAAAUGAAAUGAAACUAAAAGCAAAAAUGGCAAUAACAGGUAGGUGAAUAACAAAGCAGAAAUGAUAACAGGCAGUCAAAUGGAUAAAUGAUUCCUAAGGAUGGGGUUAUCGAAUAGUUUAAAAACAUUAUAUUUUAAAAAACAAAUUUGCCAUCAAACGGCAGAUAUUGUGUAAAAUUACAAGAAUCUGUUGUAACAUAAAACAAUUCUGUCAUAACAUUAAAAAAUUGGUUAUCGGUUGAUAAAACUUCACAGAAGCUAUCCCUAGACAACAAGUUCAACAACAGAUUAAUUCAAUCCCAUGAUAGAAAUCCUCGAGUAAAGCUAGACACUGACCUAAUUCCCAUUAGCGAUCUCUAACUAAGCAGGCAAUAUCGAAUCAACUUGUUAAAGCCAAUACCCUCUCUACAGCCAAUCCCUUGGGGUAGAGGCAGAUAUCUCUGAAAUUAAUAGGAUCCAACGCCCAUGAAACGCCUUCUGAGCGCUGGAAGUCUUGACUCAUAUUCCACAUUAGCCAGUGAAACAAGCAAUAAGCGCAACGAAUCCAGAAGGGAUUCUAGUAUUCUAAACUCAACCACCUAAAGCGACCAAGUAAACCACAACUAAUCUAUCCCAUCCUCAGAAAUACGAUUCACUACUCAGACAUAAUCAAAGACAAUAGCAAAGCAACGAUUGAAAACAUGUCAACAGAAAUGACGAAUGACUUAAACAAAAACUGAAUAUCAAAUACUUAAAAAUGAAAAAAUACAAAGUCGCAAGAGAAACACUACGGCUAUGAAAGUUGCAAAAUGUAAAAGUGGAUGAAAAACGAGAUGAAAAACGAAAACCCUAAGAGGCUACUUAUAUAAGGGAAAAUGAAACAAAUAAGGAAACUAGAUAUAUAGCGAAUCUUCACGUCAUGACCCUGCGAUCGAAUGUGUCAUUGGCAUCUGAUGGGCUGAAAUGAGCUUCCUUAUGAUUGAGUAUGUCAUUGAUCAAACUGGGCUUCAGGGACUCCACCUUGCGAUCGAGUGAGAUGCAGUGAAGACGAGAUUGAAUGGUCCAGUGACCCUGUGAUUGAGUGCGAUCGAGUGGAUGUCAUGAGGUGGUGAUCGAGUAGUUGCUUCGGCUUCUCUUCACUUCUUCGUUCUCAUCUUGUCUGGUUGAGUGCAGAACGAGCAGAUAGGCCUCCUGGUGAACGAGUUAUUCUGAUGGGGUGAUUCUUCUGGCUUUGCGAUUGAGUGAAACUGAGCUGCUAGCUUCUCCGGGGUUGGGAUAGAGUGAUUUGCCCUAGUAGGGCUCCGAGGCUGCAAUAGAGUACUUUUGCUAAAGGCGUCAUUGGGCAUCCGGACUUUCUGUUCUGUUUCUCCUCUGUUUAAACUCCAAAAGCAUCCAAAGUACCUGAAAACAACUAAAUAUGCAAUGCACAUGCAAUCCUAAUGCAAAAUCGUCCCCCCUAAGUAUGCAAAACACACUAAAACGACUCCUAAUGAGAUGAAAUAUGGAUGAAACAAUGACAAAGUGGUGAAGAAUAAAUGCCUAAAUCAUGCAAAUUAUAGACAUAUCAACUCCCCAAACUUUGUCUUUGCUCGUCCUCAAGCAAACAAGAAGACAUAAGCGGAAGGAGAGGUUUGAAGUUGGGGAUUCAAAACCAAAGCAUGAGAUAUGACAAUAAAGAUCAAUGUACCAGCUAACAGUUCUAAGAUACGAGGUGAUCGACUUCUACUUAAAAACUUUAGCUAUGCUCUAUUAUGAUCCAAAACCUACACUCAAAUGCACAUUGCGUCAAGAUCACCCAAUCCCUUUAACAUUCAUUAAGUUCAAAAACAUGAAUCAAGAUAUGCAUCGCUAGUGAACUCAUUUGGCUAAUGACAGGUUAUGAGACAAAGAUGGUCCCUUUAACUGGUUCAGAUUUUAAUAACAGGGGACUCUGAAUGAAAAAAGACUAAACUUUAGAAGAAUGCUAAAGGUAAGUGCCAACCUAUGCAUACAAGAAUAGCACCUCAUCUACCCAAUGACAUAAACCGUGAAUAACAAGUAGAUGGUCCUAUCUCUAAACCCAAUGAUGAUCCUAAGUCUACCAUUUUGCACUAAAGGCAUAUUUUGAUUUUUUGUUGGAUCAAUGUUUCUUUUCUUUUCUUUGACUCUUGUUCUUAAGGAGAAGCUUUUCUUAAACUCUAUGAGGCUAGUCUAGUGAAUUGGGUUUUUCUUUAACUCUUAUGGCUCUUGU
rnacentral:sRNA from 1 species